rnacentral:rRNA from 1 species
UACAGAGGGUGCGAGCGUUAAUCGGAAUUACUGGGCGUAAAGCGUGCGUAGACGGCUAUCUAAGUCGGGUGUGAAAGCCCCGGGCUCAACCUGGGAAUUGCAUUCGAGACUGAAUAGCUAGGGUACGGUAGAGGGAAGUGGAAUUUCCGGUGUAGCGGUGAAAUGCGUAGAUAUCGGAAGGAACAUCAGUAGCGAAGGCGGCACUCUGGGCCGGUACUGACGCUGAGGAGCGAAAGCGUGGGGAGCGAACAGG